rnacentral:rRNA from 1 species
GACGAACGCUGGCGGCGUGCUUAACACAUGCAAGUCGAACGGAAAGGCCCUGCUCUUGUGGGGUGCUCGAGUGGCGAACGGGUGAGUAACACGUGAGUAAACUGCCCUUGACUUUGGGAUAACUUUAGGAAACUGGGGCUAAUACCGGAUAGGAGCUCCUGCUGCAUGGUGGGGGUUGGAAAGUUUCGGUGGUUGGGGAUGGACUCGCGGCUUAUCCGCUUGUUGGUGGGGUAGUGGCUUACCAAGGCUUUGACGGGUAGGCGGCAUGAGAGGGUGACCGGCCACAUUGGGACUGAGAUACGGCCCAGACUCCUACGGGAGGCAGCAGUGGGGAGUAUUGCACAAUGGGCGGAAGCCUGAUGCAGCAACGCCGCGUGCGGGAUGACGGCCUACUGGUUGUAAACCGCUUUCGCCUGUGACGAAGCGUGAGUGACGGUAAUGGGUAAAGAAGCACCGGCUAACUACGUG